CUUUCUUCCAUCAGUCAUCAUGGGAAACAUCAACUCUCUGCCAAACAAAAGUGAUGAGCUGGAAAUACUGGUGAAGGUUGAGACAGCAUACCAUGAGCGCAGUUUCUUGUGUUUUACUGAAACCUGGUUUAAUCAAAAAAAACUCAGACUCCAGUGUGGCUCUACCUGGCUUCACUCUCAUAAGAUCAGACAGAUGCCAAAGCUAAUGGAAGAAGAAAGGAGGUGGCUUUAUUUGUCAACCAGAGAUGGUGUAACUCUUCACACUUAACUGUUAAGGAGAAGUUGUUUUGUCAAGAUAUUGAUCUGUUGGCAGUUGCUCUUCAGCCAUGUUAUUUUCCAAGAGAAUUCAGUCAUAUCAUAACAAUACUUGUUUACAUCCUACCCAAGACAACGGCUGAAAUUCCGUGUAAUAUUUUACAUGCUACAGACUCAACACCCUGAGGCACUAAUGCUGCAUUCGAGUUACCUCGGAAGUCAGAUGUCGGAACUGAAAAUGACGUCACACCCGAGUUCCCUGGAUUUCAG